AAAUUGAAGAGUUUGAUCAUGGCUCAGAUUGAACGCUGGCGGCAGGCCUAACACAUGCAAGUCGAACGGUAACAGGAAGCAGCUUGCUGCUUCGCUGACGAGUGGCGGACGGGUGAGUAAUGUCUGGGAAACUGCCUGAUGGAGGGGGAUAACUACUGGAAACGGUGGCUAAUACCGCAUAAUGUCGCAGGACCAAAGAGGGGGACCUUCGGGCCUCUUGCCAUCAGAUGUGCCCAGAUGGGAUUAGC
rnacentral:rRNA from 1 species